CCUACGGGAGGCAGCAGUGAGGAAUAUUGGGCAAUGGGGGCAACCCUGACCCAGCAAUGCCGCGUGCGGGAGGAAGCCCUUCGGGGUGUAAACCGCUUUUAUGAGGGAGGAGCAAGGACCGUACCUCAUGAACAAGUCACGGCUAACUACGUGCCAGCAGCCGCGGUAAUACGUAGGUGGCGAACGUUAUCCGGAGUUACUGGGCGUAAAGGGUCCGCAGGCGGGCUACUAAGUCUGGCGUGACAACUUCUCGCUUAACGAGGAGAGGUCGCUGGAAACUAGGAGUCUAGCAUCCCGCAGAGGUCGGUGGAAUUCCCGGUGUAGUGGUGGAAUGCGUAGAGAUCGGGAGGAACCUCGAAAGCGAAGGCAGCCGGCUAGGCGCGGAUGGACGCUGAGGGACGAAAGCGUGGGGAGCGAACAGGAUUAGAUACCCGAGUAGU
rnacentral:rRNA from 1 species